CCGUGUUGCCAGGCAGUGUUCAAGAUAGCACAGUGGUCAGUCAUAGAAUACUCCCACUCUCUUGCUCUCCUGCUCUCCUGAAGCCCAUGGCCUAAGGGCGGCCGGGGGCCAAGGGUCAGGGACAAACAGGGAGUAGUAAAUAAAUGGGAGAAACUCCCAGUGAGUGUUUACAGAGAAUUCACUCACUCGCUCAAGCCAAGGUUAGUCUGCCUUCUCUUGCCCACAGGGUGGAGCUGAGACCCUUGAUCUGGACCCAACAAACACGGACACAGAGGCCGUCUGAAACCCAGAGCUGGACAAGGCAUGCAAAGACGUCUCCAAAAGCAGCCUUCAGUGCCUGGCCUGGUAAGCAGAAAGAGCCCAAGGGACCAGAGAGCAUGCGUAGCGCUGCGACUAAAUGACUGACAGAGGAAGAUUAAGGAAGGAAGCGUUUCCUUUGUUUGGGCUCAUAGUUUGAAAAGACAGUCUGUCAUGACAGGGAAAGCGUGACUGCAAGGGCAUAAGGCAGAUGGCCACGUCGCAUCAGCAGGUAGGAAGCAGAGAGAAGAACGAUGGUGCUCAGCUCAUUUUCCCCUUUUAUUCAGCACAAGACCCCAUUUAUGGCAGUGGCACCACAUUUAGGGCAGGUCUUGCCACCUCAACCGACACAGAAACUCCCUCACACCCGUACCCAGAGGUGAUUUGUCUCCUGAGUAGAUUCUGGCAAGAUGGCCAUGACUGCAAACACUGAGUGAUUGGAACUCCGGUGACAUGGAAAGGUUGGGAUGUCGCAGGCCCACGGCCUAAUUAUGUCUUAUCCUGUCUCUCAGCUUUAGUCCUUAAACAGGCAUUUCCUUGCCCCUUCUAUGUCAGGCCUAACAUCCUGUGAUUAGUAGAUUAAAACCCUUUUGGGAUUUAUUAAGUUAGCAGACCCCUAGCUUCCACCAACUCGGAAGCUGAGGACAUCCUGAGACGGCAUCUGAAGCCUGAAGGAGAGAUUCACUUCUCUGCUGUUUCCACUACAGAAUUAUAAAAUUACCUUGACUUAUGA